rnacentral:lncRNA from 1 species
UUUCAUAUCCACGUGAAAGACCGACCACAAGUUCAGGAGGACGUAGGAGCGACCAAGGUUUGCUUUCUGUCCAUUCACAGUGAUGCUUUACUCGAUACCCAAGAUCCUCGUCAAUUGUACUUUAUAUUUCUCCUCCUCCUCCUCUCCUUCCUCCUCUUUCUCUUCCCCCUCCUUCUUUAUAUUGGGUUUUUUAUUUGUUUGUUUCUAUCUUUUUCUUUUUUUUUCUUUUCUUUCUUUCUUUUUUUUUUUUGAGACAGGGUUUCUCUGUAUAGCCUUGGCUGUCCUACAACUCACUCUGUAAACCAUACAUAGAGUCAUAAGAGAUCUGCCUGCCUCUGCCUCCCAGCACAGUGAUUAAAGAUGUGCACCACCACCUGGCUUUUCCUUUUUUAAAAAUUUAUGAAUUUUAUGUAUUAGUGCUCUGUCUGUAUGUAUGCCUGCAUGCCAGCUGAGAGCAUCAGAUCCCAUUAUAAAUGUUGCUGGGAAUUGAACUCAGAACCUCUGGAAGAGCAACCCAUGCUUCUAACCACUGAGCCAUCUCUCCAGCCCCCUUUUCUUCUUUAAUUGUAUUAUAAAACUCUUUUUGUUUUUUGGUUUUUUGAGACAGGGUUUCUCUGUGUAGCCCUCAGCUAUCCUGGAACUCACUCUGUAGACCAGGCGGGCCUCGAAUACAGAAAUCCAUCUGCCUCUGCUUCCCAAGUGCUGGGAUUAAAGGCGUGCACCACCACGCCCAGCUUAUAAAACUCUUAAAAAUGAAUUUGUAAUAUACCAAUUUCCUCUGAACUAUAAGGGAGAUAGACACUUGGUAGUUGUUUGGAUUUUAUUUAUUUAAUGUAGUUUUGGUUUUGAGACAGUUUCAUUAUGUAGCUAGGGCUAGCUUGGAACUCACUGUGUAGCCCAGACUAGCUUCAAAUUCAUGAGUCUUCGGUUUGGGCUUUUUUAGAAGUAACAGGAACAGGCAUGCACCACCAUGCCCUGGUUGGUUCUAAAAUCGCACACAUAGUACUUUAACUUCACAGUUGACACAUUCCUGAGAAAUCCUUCAGAGAUGAUUAGAGGUAAUAAAUAAUAGUAAGUGGAAAGGAAACACAUUUCACCACUUAGUAAAGGAAACCAUCUCGUUAGCAUAGUCUAGAUAACAGCUGGAGGCCAGGUGACUACUCACCCAUCCUCCAGACAGCAGCUGUUAAGCUCGAGUCAAGUAUUGGUAGAAGCUGAAUGGAGAAGAAGCCCUGUCUGUCAGAGGACUUCAUAGAAUCUAUGCAGAGCUCUCAGAGUGAC